rnacentral:rRNA from 1 species
UACGUAGGGGGCAAGCGUUGUCCGGAAUUAUUGGGCGUAAAGCGCGCGUAGGCGGCCUUGCAAGUUAGAGGUGAAAGCCCGGAGCUCAACUCCGGAACUGCCUUUAAAACUGCAUAGCUUGAAUCCGGGAGAGGUGAGUGGAAUUCCGAGUGUAGAGGUGAAAUUCGUAGAUAUUCGGAAGAACACCAGUGGCGAAGGCGGCUCACUGGACCGGUAUUGACGCUGAGGUGCGAAAGCGUGGGGAGCGAUCCGG